AGGCCCCCUUUAGCUUCUUAAAAUAAACCUGUCAUCACUGCCUCCACAAACUUACCAGUCUGGGAAGCAAGAGGCCAGCAAGCUGGAUCUUUUAUAGCAGUGCAGAGAACGAACUCCAGAAUUAUUGGGUGGUCACUUGGUCUCUGGGUGAGAUACUUGGGAGCUGUGCAGGAUGAUCUCAAGGAGCCUCUCAGCUGUGGAAUUCCCUAUCAGCAGAGACAGGGAACCAAGAUGAACACACCAGACGGACCAAGAACCCUGAACUCUCUGACCAGGAACCAUCAACAGGAACCUAGAGCCACUGCUCAGGAACUCACCGUCAGGAACAGCUCCGCCAAUGACAGGAUCAGGAACGAUGUAGUAGAUUCCUGCAGAAGUGGAGUCCAGUUGAAGAGACACAGAUGGGAUUUGGGGGCAAAGGAGCAGCAGAACUGGCAAGACUGGAGCAGGACAAAAAGUAACACUGUGGCAAGAUUCAGGAGUUGGAUGCACUAUAAAUGCAAUCCACUCAAAUCAUUAGUGUGUGUAUGGCGAUCACACAGCAAGAUUGUAUAAUCAUCCCUGAGGUUUUAAAAUGGGUCCUUCCAUAUCCUUUUGAAUAAUGCCCAUUUAUCUGUUUGAAAUUACAUCAAUGUUAAUGGACAGCUGGCGGAGCAAUUUGUGGGGACGACUGGAGGAGCAGCGAGCGGCACGGAGCCUUGCGGGGCCGGUUGGAGCGGCCCAAGGAACGGCGAGCGGAGCUGUUUGCGGGGAUGGCUGGAGCGGCUCACAGGUCAGUGAGCGGAGCGGAGCAGCUUGUAGAGCGAAGCAGUUUGUGGGACGGCAGGAAGCGGACUGGCUCGUGGUGAAGGCUGCGGCGGAACCCUACGGAGAGACAGCCGGCCGGCCUUGGAUCACGUAAGGUGCCCCUUAACAUCCUAUGUGCCCCCCCUUUUACUCUGGGGCUGCACUGACCAGGGACAGAGACUUUGGGGUUUGUUGGAAUUUUGGGACUUUGGGUGGUUGCUGGACCCAAGAGACUUUGGGGCUGUUGGACUUUGGGGACUCUGGGUGAUUUUUGGGUUGCUGAUUCAAGAACCAAAGGGAAAGGACACAACCCAAUUUGCUGGGGUGGGUUUUUUGCUCAUGGUUUGUGUUAUGAAUCCUGUUUGUGGUGUUUUUCCAAUUUAAUGCUGAUGUCAUUUACCUCAUGUUAUUAAACAUUUUCUGCUACA